GAGAGGUUAGGAAUGCAAAACGAAGUUUGCUAAAACACAUCAAAAAAGAAGAUGAAGGAGGAAAAGGACAAGGUCUUGGAGGAGAGAAAAAAAGCAGCAGCUGGAACAGCAAGAGGGCACUGAGAAUACAGAGAUGAAAGAUGGGCCUCUACAAGUUUGCAGUUCACAGAUAAAUUAACAGACUCUACCUGUUGGUGUGAGUAUUGUGUCACAGCAUUCUAAGAAGUCCCUUUCACAUGCACAGGUGCACCAAUGCUGUGGCCAUAUGGAUAUAUGCUCAAGGUGCAAAGCAGUAAGAGAGCUCUUUUGCCCUG